rnacentral:lncRNA from 1 species
AGAAUCAAACAGUUAGCUAGAAUCCAUAACAGAAAUAGCUAUAAUUUGUAGAACUAUUAGUUGACGUGUACACAUGAGAUAACAACCACAGAAUAGCAUAGAACCUUCUACUAGAUAGCACAUUUUGUAUAUAAACAGAAUACAAUAGACCUACAAAGAUAUGGGAAUCUAAUAUACAUCAUUUACGAUUUUUUCCAUUAAUGCUUCGCUAAGCUUUCUCUUGAAUACCUUUAAAGUUGACUAU